rnacentral:rRNA from 1 species
GGGGGGCGGCUAUACAUGCAGUCGAGCGGACAGAUGGGAGCUUGCUCCCUGAUGUUAGCGGCGGACGGGUGAGUAACACGUGGGUAACCUGCCUGUAAGACUGGGAUAACUCCGGGAAACCGGGGCUAAUACCGGAUGGUUGUUUGAACCGCAUGGUUCAAACAUAAAAGGUGGCUUCGGCUACCACUUACAGAUGGACCCGCGGCGCAUUAGCUAGUUGGUGAGGUAACGGCUCACCAAGGCAACGAUGCGUAGCCGACCUGAGAGGGUGAUCGGCCACACUGGGACUGAGACACGGCCCAGACUCCUACGGGAGGCAGCAGUAGGGAAUCUUCCGCAAUGGACGAAAGUCUGACGGAGCAACGCCGCGUGAGUGAUGAAGGUUUUCGGAUCGUAAAGCUCUGUUGUUAGGGAAGAACAAGUACCGUUCUAAUAGGGCGGUACUUUGACGGAACCAAACCCAAAAGCCAGGGUUAUCUACGUGCCCCCAGCCCCGGGAAAGGUAGUCGGCAAGCUUUGACCGAAAAUCAUGGGGCUUAAAGGUUUGGGCAGGCGCUUUCUUAUCUCUGAGGUGAUGCCCCC